rnacentral:misc_RNA from 1 species
GAAAUGCGAUAAGUAAUGUGAAUUGCAGAAUUCAGUGAAUCAUCGAAUCUUUGAACGCACCUUGCGCUCCUUGGUAUUCCUUGGAGCAUGCCUGUUUGAGUAUCAUGAAAUCUUCAAAGUAAAUCUUUUGUUAACUCAAUUGGUUUCUACUUUGGUAUUGGAGGUCUUUGCAGCUUCACACCUGCUCCUCUUUGUUCAUUAGCUGGAUCUCAGUGUUAUGCUUGGUUCCACUCGGCGUGAUAAGUUAUCUAUCGCUGAGGACACUGUAAAAGGUGGCCAAGGUAAAUGCAAAUGAACCGCUUCUAAUAGUCCAUUGACUUGGACAAUACUUUUAUGAUCUGAUCUCAAAUCAGGUAGGACUACCCGCUGAACUUAUGC